rnacentral:rRNA from 1 species
UACAGAGGGGGCAAGCGUUGUUCGGAAUUACUGGGCGUAAAGGGCGCGUAGGCGGCCUUCUAAGUCGAACGUGAAAUCCCCGGGCUCAACCCGGGAACUGCAUCCGAUACUGGAUGGCUUGAAUCCGGGAGAGGGAUGCGGAAUUCCAGGUGUAGCGGUGAAAUGCGUAGAUAUCUGGAGGAACACCGGUGGCGAAGGCGGCAUCCUGGACCGGCAUUGACGCUGAGGAGCGAAAGCCAGGGGAGCAAACGGG